GGAGAUCCCAGGGACUGAACCUGGCACCUUCUGCAGGCAAUGCGGAUGCUCUACCACUGAGCUAUGCCCCCAUCCCCAAGAGUCAAGAAAAGAGAAAACUUCAAAUGUGCUUAAACAUCAGUUAACUGAUAAAGGCCUUGUUGCUUCAAGUCAAGCGACUCUUCUUCAGGGACAACUGAGCCAGUUUCUUCAGAGGAACUGCUACAACUGUCCUACGCGGUCUCACCAGAGGAGUCAGACGAAGAGUGCCUCUCCCAUCAACAAUAUGGUGAGACAUAACUUUAAUAAAUCUAUACUGGAUUGGUCGUUGCCCGGGUCAAGAAGGACCGCGCCAGGUGCUGGAGUCCCUGGACAUCUGGUGGAAAGUGGGCAACAGGACUCAGGAUCUUCAGUUGAGCAACUGGGGCUGGAGACUGCAGAGUUACUGGAAGAAACGUCGUUUAACCGGAAAAAAUAUGCGAAAAAUGCCAACAAGGAUCGACAUAGCAAUACAAGGGGAUAGCAGAAUAGAAGAAAAAGAAAUAGAAAAAAUCACAAAAUACAAAGAUCUACAAAUUGAAAUUGAAAGGCUGUGGCAGAAGAAGACCAAAAUAAUCCCAGUGGUAACUGCUGCCCUCGGUGCAAUUCCAAAACAACUUGAAGAGCACCUCAACACCAUAGGGGCCACAGAAAUCACCAUCAGCCAAUUACAAAAGGCAACUUUACUGGGAACAGCCUAUAUUCUGCAACGAUAUCUAUAAUAACCACAACAACAUUGACAAUAAAAUCCAGCCAUCCCAGGUCCUUGGGAAAGACUCGAUGUCUGGAUAAAACAAACCAGUCAAUAACACCUGUCUGUGUAAACAAGAAAUAAUAAUAAAUAUACAUUUAUAUACCCA